rnacentral:rRNA from 1 species
UACAGAGGGUGCAAGCGUUAAUCGGAAUUACUGGGCGUAAAGCGUGCGUAGACGGUUGCGUAAGUCAGAUGUGAAAGCCCCGGGCUCAACCUGGGAAUUGCAUUUGAGACUGCGUAGCUAGGGUGCGGAAGAGGGAAGCGGAAUUUCCGGUGUAGCGGUGAAAUGCGUAGAUAUCGGAAGGAACACCAGUGGCGAAAAGCGGCUUCCGUCGGU